UACCAGCACCCCGAGUGGUCGGGACGAUUAUUGGGCCUAAAGCAUCCGUAGCCGGUCCUACAAGUCUUCCGUUAAAUCCACCUGCUUAACAGAUGGGCUGCGGAAGAUACUAUAGGGCUAGGAGGCGGGAGAGGCAAGCGGUACUCAGUGGGUAGGGGUAAAAUCCUCUGAUCCAUUGAAGACCACCAGUGGCGAAGGCGGCUUGCCAGAACGCGCUCGACGGUGAGGGAUGAAAGCUGGGGGAGCAAACCGGGAU
rnacentral:rRNA from 1 species